rnacentral:rRNA from 1 species
AUCUAUGGCCAUGCUGCCCUGAGCACACCCGAUCCCAUCUAAUCUUGGAAGCUAAGCAGAGUUUGGCCUUGGAUGAGAGACCAUCUAAGAAGACCAGGUGCUUUAGGAG